AACGAACGCUGGCGGCGCGCCUAAUACAUGCAAGUCGAGCGAGAAGACGUAGCAAUACGUUUGUAAAGCGGCGAACGGGUGAGGAAUACAUGGGUAACCUACCCUCGAGUGGGGAAUAACUAGCCGAAAGGUUAGCUAAUACCGCGUACGCUCCUUGGACUUCGGUUCAGGGAGGAAAGCGAUACCGUGGGUAUCGCGCUCUUGGAUGGGCUCAUGUCCUAUCAGCUUGUUGGUGAGGUAACGGCUCACCAAGGCUUCGACGGGUAGCUGGUCUGAGAGGACGAUCAGCCACACUGGCACUGCGACACGGGCCAGACUCCUACGGGAGGCAGCAGUAAGGAAUAUUGCGCAAUGGGCGAAAGCCUGACGCAGCGACGCCGCGUGGGGGAUGGAAGGUCUUCGGAUUGUAAACCACUGUCGGGAGGGACGAAGCUCUGACGGUACCUCCAAAGGAA
rnacentral:rRNA from 1 species